rnacentral:rRNA from 1 species
GAUGAACGCUGGCGGCGUGCUUAACACAUGCAAGCCGAACGAAGCACUUAAGAUUGAUUCUUCGGAUGACGUCUUUUGUGACUUAGUGGCGGACGGGUGAGUAACGCGUGGGUAACCUGCCUCACACAGGGGGAUAACAGUUAGAAAUGACUGCUAAUACCGCAUACCCGAUAGGAUCGCAUGAUCCAGACGGAAAAGAUUUAUCGGUGUGAGAUGGACCCGCGUCUGAUUAGCUAGUUGGUGAGGUAACGGCCCACCAAGGCGACGAUCAGUAGCCGGCCUGAGAGGGUGAACGGCCACAUUGGGACUGAGACACGGCCCAAACUCCUACGGGAGGCAGCAGUGGGGAAUAUUGCACAAUGGGGGAAACCCUGAUGCAGCGACGCCGCGUGAGUGAAGAAGUAUUUCGGUAUGUAAAGCUCUAUCAGCAGGGAAGAAAAUGACGGUACCUGACUAAGAAGCCCCGGCUAACUACGUG